UACGGAGGGUGCAAGCGUUAUCCGGAUUUAUUGGGUUUAAAGGGUGCGCAGGCGGGACUAUAAGUCAGUGGUGAAAGCCUACAGCUUAACUGUAGAACUGCCAUUGAUACUGUAGCCCUUGAGUGCAGGUGAAGUGGGCGGAAUGUGUUGUGUAGCGGUGAAAUGCUUAGAUAUAACACAGAACACCGAUUGCGAAGGCAGCUCACUAAACUGCAACUGACGCUCAGGCACGAAAGCGUGGGGAUCAAACAGG
rnacentral:rRNA from 1 species